GUUAUUGCAUGGUAUUGAGUGCCAUGGUUAACACCUAUACCUGGGUGAUCCGAACAUUGAAUUGGUCCUGAUUUACCCCUGUAGUUAGUGGAGGGGGCUACGGAUGUGCCUCCGACUACUAAGCCGGAACAUGAUUCCCAAUCAAAAUUUCAACUGAUUGGCCCGCAUGGCAUUGGAAUGCCUUGAGGAUGUUCUUCGUGGGAGUAUGGUGACAAAUUGCAU
rnacentral:lncRNA from 1 species